rnacentral:rRNA from 1 species
UACGAAGGGGGCUAGCGUUGUUCGGAUUUACUGGGCGUAAAGCGCACGUAGGCGGAUCUUUAAGUCAGAGGUGAAAUCCCAAGGCUCAACCUUGGAACUGCCUUUGAUACUGGGGAUCUUGAGUCCGGGAGAGGUGAGUGGAACUCCGAGUGUAAGAGGUGAAAUUCGUAGAUAUUCGCAAGAACACCAGUGGCGAAGGCGGCUCAGCUGGCCCGGUACUGACGCUGAGGUGACGAAGGCGUGGGGAGCAAACAGG